rnacentral:lncRNA from 1 species
UACUAUUUUCAAUUCAACUAUAUGUUUAAUUCAAUUAUUAUAAUCAACUAUUUCCACACAUUUAUAAAUUUGCACUAAGGUUUUAUGGCAAUCAGAGGACAAAACUGUGCGCGACUGAAUUGGUGCAACUACACCAUCAUCUCCACCCUUCACCACAACAUCCAUAUGCACUAACGAUAACUCACACAUCAAUGCAAACAUGGAUACCAUAUCUUCAUCGUACGCAAGAAUGCAUUCUCCACAAUCUGCCAGCAUAUGUGUUAUAGUUGUAUUAGAUGCACUUAGACACUGCCAUUUCAAACAAGCAAAAUCAACCAAUGCUUCAAAACUAAGGCCAGAAGAUCA